rnacentral:rRNA from 1 species
UACGUAGGGACCAAGCGUUGUUCGGAUUUACUGGGCGUAAAGGGCGCGUAGGCGGCUUAACAAGUCACUUGUGAAAUCUCCGGGCUUAACUCGGAACGGCCAAGUGAAACUGCUCAAGCUAGAGUGCAGGAAGGGGCAAUCGGAAUUCUUGGUGUAGCGGUGAAAUGCGUAGAUAUCAAGAGGAACACCUGAGGUGAAGACGGGUUGCUGGGCUGACACUGACGCUGAGGCGCGAAAGCCAGGGGAGCAAACGGG